UCAUAAUAGCGCGUCGCUUCGUUCAUGUUGCCGGAAGUCCUCAUUCAGCGACAGCCGUGCUUUCAAUCGCUCCGCAUGCAGGCAUGACGUUACCGACAUGAAUGUUCUUACAGAUGAUAAGAUCUUGACUAUAGCGGUUUUGCUGGCAGCUGCAUGGACAUCCCAAGCUGACCUUCUCGUAGGGGAACCCGCCUGCAGAGGCUGGUAUCAGAUUUGCGGCGGCCAUUACGACUUUCCAUGCUGCAGAUCGCUGCAGUGCUGGAACCGACGAUGCAUCUUCCGGAACGAAGACCGGCAAGGAUACGACUACUACAGUGACGACGGUGUCUUUCCGCCUGGGGACUACAUGCGCUAUCGCCCGAUAUACCCAGUCAACUUCCGCCCUUGAUGUAUCAACGUCACACAAUAAUUGGCCGAGAAUAGCAACGUGUAUAUGGUGCAGACUGUGCUGACAUGAUUAAUUUCCUGUCUGUGUAACGCGCAGACGGAUUUUUGGCACACGUAAGGUGCAUGCAUGGAUUACGAAAGUAGUUCGUGUUGUCAGACAUCGUAUUUGAAAAAAAUCGUCUGCUAUAGAGGUUAUAUCGUAUUCAAGAGCUGUGCCCUGGGUAAACAAGGUAAUGGGUAACGCAAGAGCAUCGUUCUCAGACCAGGACGACCUAAUAACCCGGGAAAAGUGAAACGGAAAAUAUGUGAUAUCGCUUUCGAACAUCUACGAUAUGUGACAAUAAAGUUGUUUUGCCUCCAGAUAAAAUCUUGUCAAAGGAAUAUGUCUGAAAUUGAACGCGGCGUUCACAAUGUGGCGAAGCCUUUCUACACGAACACUUGAUCCAAGGUAAAUCGAAUUUUUCAAAAUAAAGUACAGCCCACGGA